rnacentral:rRNA from 1 species
GAUGAACGCUGGCGGCGUGCCUAAUACAUGCAAGUCGAGCGAACAGACGAGGAGCUUGCUCCUCUGACGUUAGCGGCGGACGGGUGAGUAACACGUGGAUAACCUACCUAUAAGACUGGGAUAACUUCGGGAAACCGGAGCUAUACCGGAUAAUAUAUUGAACCGCAUGGUUCAAUAGUGAAAGACGGUUUUGCUGUCACUUAUAGAUGGAUCCGCGCCGCAUUAGCUAGUUGGUAAGGUAACGGCUUACCAAGGCAACGAUGCGUAGCCGACCUGAGAGGGUGAUCGGCCACACUGGAACUGAGACACGGUCCAGACUCCUACGGGAGGCAGCAGUAGGGAAUCUUCCGCAAAGGGCGAAAGCUUGACGGAGCAACGCCGCGUGAGUGAUGAAGGUCUUCGGAUCGUAAAACUCUGUUAUUAGGGAAGAACAAAUGUGUAAGUAACUAUGCACGUCUUGACGGUACCUAAUCAGAAAGCCACGGCUAACUACGUG